CUAUAUGGCCAUACUGGACAGGGUGCACCCAGUCUUGGCUGAUCUCAGAAGCUAAGCUCUCCUGGGCCUGGCUAGCACUUGGAUGGGAGACCACCUGAGAAUCUCAGGUGAUGUAUUUU
ensembl:rRNA 5S_rRNA 5S ribosomal RNA